rnacentral:rRNA from 1 species
UACGAAGGGGGCUAGCGUUGUUCGGAAUUACUGGGCGUAAAGCGCGCGCAGGCGGCUUUCCAAGUCAGGGGUGAAAGCCCAGAGCUCAACUCUGGAAUUGCCUUUGAGACUGAAAAGCUUGAGUACGGGAGAGGUGAGUGGAAUUCCCAGUGUAGAGGUGAAAUUCGUAGAUAUUGGGAAGAACACCGGUGGCGAAGGCGGCUCACUGGCCCGUUACUGACGCUCAGGCGCGACAGCGUGGGGAUCAAACAGG